UCUUGCUUCUAGCAUAACUUCAGAACCGUUGAUGGAAGGCAGCAGCUAGGUGGCAGUGUGCCAAACAAAAGAGUCAACACAAAAAGAUGGUUUCUAAAGAUUCAUGACAGAGCAUGCCCUAAAUAGCAUGGAAAUCUGAACAGAAACCAGUUAAUGGCACAUAAUCCAUAAUAUAAUUGCAAUUGACAUAUUGUAGCCAUGUGGUAAAUAGGGCGAGGGUAAUUACAGUUUUGUCUUUCUUCUAGGUUCUAGGAGCGACUCUGCCCUAACCAUUCUCCAUUUAUUAUGUAAAACAGAAAUGGUGCCAUAUGCCUUGGUCUGAAGAACACUGUAAAUACAUGUUCUAGCUUAAGAUUCUCACUGAAACAAGAAAGGUACAUGACACAAGUGUGAAUGUUUACUGACAGGUAACUAUGAAAUUGAACAUGGUAUACAGCCUUCUGCUGUAUGUAUGUAUAAAAACACCACGUAGCAAUAGUUACUAAAUGGCAUACACAGUCCCUCGAGGCUGACCAGAACAAAAGUAUAAGUCAGGUGUCCUGCAAAGUGAAAAGAAUCCUUCCGCACAGAUAACCAUGCAGCACCAGCACUGCUCUGCAGUAGCACAGCCUAAGCGCUACUGGAGCUUCACACUCGUUUAACGAACCGUUUCAGUGUAACGACUACAACAUGCCCAAUGACGAAUUUACUCCCCCAGUGGUCAGAAAAAGAAAUCCCACUCUGUACAACAGCUUUGUUCUUUCCAUAGCCUAACUACAUGGUUGAACUGCCUUCUGUGUACUUAUUACGGACAAGAAAGGAAGAAACAUGUACACAAGCAAUCCAGGAACAUAUCUUUUCUAUUGAUAAGCCUUAAGCUAGAGGAUCAUCACAUUAUCACAACCAGAAGACAGCUUCUUUGCUUGAGUAUCAGGAAGACGGGAGGAGAUUCGAGACAAUGUUUUGCCCUUCAGGUUUUGUUUACUACCUUGAUGAAAUACAAAGUUGGCUGCAGGAUAAGUCACGAGGACAGUAUGCCAAGAUGUGAGAACCUGCAGGAAGUCUUAGGGUCCCAACAGCCUUUUGAAACAACAGCACCUCCCUAAAACAUUACCAAACUGACAGAUGUUUUUCCUUUUCUCUUUGUGGAGAAUCAGAGACC
ensembl:lncRNA